UUUGGAUGUUAUCUCUUUUUAUCUCAUAUAUGACACUCUAGCAGAUUUAAUAUUGGAAUGCAUCACCUGUGAAACCCUUCACAUGUCCUUCAAACCAAUCAAUCUGGAAUUCUCAGCGCUUUCUGUGCCAAUAAAGUCGGGUGUGGAAUUGGUAGAUUUAAAGCAGACCUGCUUCUUCUUCGACACAUUGGAUUUCUAGUCACCAUUUGGAUUGGGUUUAAAAGAUGAGGAAGUAGAGACAUUUCUUGGCCUGAGACUCUAACAGUAGAGAUAUAGACGAGAAAGUGAGAUCACAAGGAGACUAGCUAUUGACUGCAGGGCCCUGCCAGCUGCCUUGUGGGUAGCAUUAGUUGAAUUGGGAGCA
rnacentral:lncRNA from 1 species